UACGUAGGGGGCUAGCGUUGUCCGGAUUUAUUGGGCGUAAAGAGCGUGUAGGCGGCCAGGUAGGUCUGGUGUGAAAACUCGAGGCUCAACCUCGAGACGCCGAUGGAAACCGUCUGGCUAGAGUCCGGAAGAGGAGAGUGGAAUUCCCGGUGUAGCGGUGAAAUGCGCAGAUAUCGGGAAGAACACCCGUGGCUAAGGCGGCUCUCUAGUACGGUACUGACGCUGAGACGCGAAAGCGUGGGGAGCGAACAGG
rnacentral:rRNA from 1 species